GUGCUCACUUCGGCAGCACAUACUAAAAUUGAAAUGAUACAGAAAAGAUUAGCAUGACCGAGGAAGACAUGCAAAUUUGUGAAGCGUUCCAAAAUAAA
rnacentral:snRNA from 1 species